rnacentral:rRNA from 1 species
GACGAACGCUGGCGGCGUGCCUAAUACAUGCAAGUUGAGCGCUGAAGGUUGGUACUUGUACCAACUGGAUGAGCAGCGAACGGGUGAGUAACGCGUGGGGAAUCUGCCUUUGAGCGGGGGACAACAUUUGGAAACGAAUGCUAAUACCGCAUAAAAACUUUAAACACAAGUUUUAAGUUUGAAAGAUGCAAUUGCAUCACUCAAAGAUGAUCCCGCGUUGUAUUAGCUAGUUGGUGAGGUAAAGGCUCACCAAGGCGAUGAUACAUAGCCGACCUGAGAGGGUGAUCGGCCACAGUGGGACUGAGACACGGCCCAAACUCCCACGGGAGGCAGCAGUAGGGAAUCUUCGGCAAUGGACGAAAGUCUGACCGAGCAACGCCGCGUGAGUGAAGAAGGUUUUCGGAUCGUAAAACUCUGUUGGUAGAGAAGAACGUUGGUGAGAGUGGAAAGCUCAUCAAGUGACGGUAACUACCCAGAAAGGGACGGCUAACUACGUG